rnacentral:rRNA from 1 species
GUUGGUGAUUUUAAUGAGAUUCUAUUCUCGUCGGAAAAGGAGGGAGGAGCCCCUCGGCAACACAGUCGGAUGCGAGCUUUUCAGGACGCGCUCAUGGACUGUUCCCUCGAGGAUAUUGGUUACCAUGGUGAUAAGUUCACCUUCUUCAGAGGAGGACUAAGGGAAUGGCUCGACCGAGCGGUGUCGAAUGCGGACUGGAUGGAGAUGCACCCAUUAUGCGGUUUGAGUAACUUAAAAAUGGGUAAGUCGGAUCACAUACCUAUCUUCUUGGAUACUGAGUAUUUGGCUGGUGUAGCUUCACCGAGCCCUAGCGCCAGUCACAAGUUCGAAGCGAGAUGGCUAGCUGAAGAAGCGGUUGAGGAAGUGGUAAAAACUGCAUGGCUAAAGGCGGUUACUCGUGGGCUCUGUCCUAAGGCCAGCGAUAAACUUGCUGCUGUCCAUAAAGAACUUCAUACGUGGGAUCACAAGGUUCUGAAGGGACCACGCCACAGGUAA